rnacentral:rRNA from 1 species
CGGCGUGCUUAACACAUGCAAGUCGAACGGUAAGGCCCUUCGGGGUACACGAGUGGCGAACGGGUGAGUAACACGUGGGUAAUCUGCCCUGCACAUCGGGAUAAGCCUGGGAAACUGGGUCUAAUACCGAAUAGGACCACAGAACACAUGUCCUGUGGUGGAAAGCUUUUGCGGUGUGGGAUGGGCCCGCGGCCUAUCAGCUUGUUGGUGGGGUGAUGGCCUACCAAGGCGACGACGGGUAGCCGGCCUGAGAGGGUGUCCGGCCACACUGGGACUGAGAUACGGCCCAGACUCCUACGGGAGGCAGCAGUGGGGAAUAUUGCACAAUGGGCGAAAGCCUGAUGCAGCGACGCCGCGUGGGGGAUGACGGCCUUCGGGUUGUAAACCUCUUUCACCAUCGACGAAGGUCCGGGUUUUCUCGGGCUGACGGUAGGUGGAGAAGAAGCACCGGCCAACUACGUGCCAGCAGCCGCGGUAAUAC